GACGAACGCUGGCGGCGUGCCUAAUACAUGCAAGUAGACCUGAGUUGCGAACGGGUGAGUAUCGUGUCGGAACCUGCCCCAUAGCGGGGGAUAACUAUUGGAAACGAUAGCUAAUUCCGCAUUCUGUGAGACGGACCUGCGUUGCAUUAGCUAGUUGGGGCGGUAAAGGCUAACCAAGGCGACGAUCCGUAACUGGUCUGAGAGGAUGAUAAGUCACACUGGAACUGAGACACGGUCCAGACUCCUACGGGAGGCAGCAGUGGGGAAUAUUGGACAAUGGGCGAAAGCCUGAUCCAGCCAUGCCGCGUGUGUGAAGAAGGUCUUCGGAUUGUAAAGCACUUUAAGUUGGGAGGCGUUACCAGCAGAAUAAGCACCGGCUAACUUCGUGCCAGCAGCCGCGGUAAUAC
rnacentral:rRNA from 1 species